AACAAUUGGGUCGCUGUGGAUAUUCCUACAGUUAUCCACAAGUCAACGUAAUGAUCACUUUGUUUAAAAACCUUUCUCCCAUGCAAAAAGGAGGAGUGAUGACAUUGUUGGCAACAUAAAUACAAUGAUAUUUUCAUUCAAUAAAUUCAUGUUAAAUGUUUGUUUUUCCAAUCAUUUUCCCUUUUCGCUUUUUGCAUGAAAUUGGUGAUCACAUAAAACCUAAAAAAAAUAAAAAUAAAGAAAAGAAUAAAAUCAAUCUUUUCAUCUGCAUAAUGAUUUGCCUUGUUUGAUUUCUAAAAGCUUUUCAUAUCCAAAAUCAUUAUGCAGGUUGAUC
rnacentral:lncRNA from 1 species